rnacentral:ncRNA from 1 species
UUACAGGAAAAUAAUGGUUCGAUACCAGAGAAAGAGAGAGUCUGAGAAACCAAUUCCGUUUCCAAGGGAGGCAGCAGACACGCAAAUAACCCACUCCCAGUAUGGGGAGGUGGUGACGACAAAUACCGAUUUGGUACUUUUAUGAAGGCUUCGUAAUCGGAAUGAGUGAACUGUAAAUCAUUUUACGAGGAUCAAUUAAAGGGCAAGUCUGGUGCCAGGAGCCAAGUAAACUUCAGCUCCAAAAGCGUAUGUUAAAAUUGCUGCAGUUAAAAACUCGUAGUUAGAUCUCGGUAUGACUGUCGCCUGCAAUUCCUCGGCUGAUUGUGUCGGCGCCAGUCGGACCUUGCUUCGCUUGGUGUCCCUUCCCAGGCAUGGUUAUGCUCGAGUUGGUGGUUAGGUGGUGUCACAUUUCAGCCAUGUCUGUUGUGAAAUACCCGCAGGGUAGGUGAUUAACAGGUGGUGCUCUGCGACAGUAGUGUUAAUCGACUCGUCUGCACGCCUUUGGAUGCCCUUAAAAAGGUGUU